AAAUUUUGUUUCUCCAACGAUGAGUCAGAAGUAAAUGAACAGACGAAUAAAGGAUUUGGAGGCCAUGAUUUUAAUUCACCCAGAAAAGCCUUAGAUACCCAAUAAUGUCUAAUUCACACACACUCAUUUCACACAGGGGAUUAUACUUAUAAUGUUUUUCAAAACUGAAAUAUAUGAUGUACCACAUACACGGAACUGGGAAGUGGAGCCAAUGCAUUGACAAAUUUUCAGACGUUGACUUUCUUGGAGACAAUUCUACCGACCCAGGUGAAGCCAUACAAUAUUGGAGAGAAUUAUGAAACUUAAAGGUAAUACAAUUUUGCUGAGCAAGAAUCCAAUUUUAAUAACGCGGCUGGCAUCAACAUAUUUAAAUUGCAAAGAAACACAUAACUAGUUUGGACAUUGGUAUCUUUUCUGAAGGGAAAGUGCAUCUAGUUGGAUGCGUUAAACAGGUUGUCAAACCCCCGUUCCCAUUUGCAACGAGGAGAGACAAACUUCUUUGAAAAAAGAGUAUGCAAUUAACAAAAAGCUUCAGUGACUGUUAUUAAAAUUCUUCAACCAUCGACAGUGGACAUAACAAUUGUGGAAGACUUUUAAACUAGGUAUAUUCUGAUAGGUACCCAUUUCCUUUAAUUUGUGUACUUAUUUUACCUAUGUUUCCCCCCACCACCCAUUAGAAAGUAAUUAGUUAGUUUAUUUAACCAAAGAAAACUGUACCCACUCACUGUGUUUUUGUGAAUAAAAUUAUUUUGUCAAUGACUAAUUUAAGAAAACUUUAUUUUUAAAUUUUAUAAGAGGUAAAAAAGAAAGGUAGGUGCCUAUUUAAAAUCUCAAUGAACUAUACCAUCAUGCCUUUCGUAUUUGUCGUAUCAAUAGUUUAUAUGUAUUUUAAAAUUUAGAAAUUUAUGACUAAUGUAGUAA